rnacentral:rRNA from 1 species
AUUGAACGCUGGCGGCAUGCUUUACACAUGCAAGUCGAACGGUAACAGGCCUUCGGGUGCUGACGAGUGGCGAACGGGUGAGUAAUGCAUCGGAACGUACCCAGAGGUGGGGGAUAACGCAGCGAAAGCUGUGCUAAUACCGCAUGUGAUCUGAGGAUGAAAGCGGGGGACCGAGCAGCAAUGUUUGGCCUCGCGCCUUUGGAGCGGCCGAUGUCGGAUUAGCUAGUUGGUGGGGUAAAGGCCUACCAAGGCGACGAUCCGUAGCUGGUCUGAGAGGACGUCAACCCCCUCAGGGACUGAGCCACGGCCCAGACUCCUACGGGCGGCCGCAGUGGGGACUUUUGGACACUGGGCGCAAGCCUGCUCCAGCAACGCAGCCUGCGGGAAGAAGGCCUUCGUGUUGUAAGCCGCUUUUGGCAGGAACGAAACGGUGUCCGCUAAUACCGGGCUAUAAUGACGGUACCGGCAGAAUAGCACCGGCUAACUACGUG